UGACAUCAUUGGAACUCAUCCAAAAUGGAGGGAAAACAACUCACCUUGACUGUGGGAACGUCACCUGUGGGCUGCUCCAUCGAUCGAUGCAGCUGAUGGAUGUGAGAGCCGCUGGAGAAUAAACUACAGGGGGAUUCGAGCGGAGAGAUGAGAUUCACACAGCCUUCUGUCUCUGGAGGAUUAUGCUGAAGUCUCUUUUUAAGGCAGGCGGGUUCACUCAGAGGUCAUCGUGGUCCACUGAACAGUCAAGCAUGUUUAUCUGCUGAUUCCGAAUGAGAGAAACCAAACUCUCCAAAUCACUUCCAAAAGCUUCUAUUUCAGCAAAAUAAGCCAAACUACAUUUAUUUUACUGUGUGAUGCUA